rnacentral:lncRNA from 1 species
CUACAGAAAGUUUUUAUUACAAUGUACAUUUUAUUUUAUAAUGUGCUUUCAGAGCUAGAGCAAGCCUGGGGCUCCCUGCUUUGCCUGGGUUACAGUUGUAAGAAAUCUGGGUCAGUGAAGGAAUAGCAGCAGCAAGUGUCUGAUGUCGGAAGCCCUGGCCUAAGAGGAGACCUGGGACCAGCUACUUCUUUCCUCUUGCAGGAGCCCUGGACACCUACCGAUAGCAGCUGCUAGAAUUAGGAUUGUCCCAGUCCUUUGGACAAAGGACUAAAGGCAGCUCCCCUUCUGACUCUGCUCUAAGGCUCCACCUUGCCAAGCCCAUAAUGUGUAUCCAAGUACUAUCAAGAGGCUGAGACAACUGCAGCUUUGUGGAGUCCUGAGUGUGUAUCUUUUCUCAUUGUGCUUCAUGUGACGGGAAAUACCUUCUUUUGGAGGGGUCACAGAGAGAUUGAGAGAGAGGCAGAGACAUAGGCAGAGGGAGAAGCAGGCUCCAUGCAGGGAGCCCGACGUGGGAUUCGAUCCCGGGUCUCCGGGAUCGCGCCCUGGGCCAAAGGCAGGCGCCAAACCGCUGCGCCACCCAGGGAUCCCUAUAAUUGACUAUUCUUAAUGGACUAUGACAACUGUAUAAAAGGUGUGCCAGAAGAAUGAUUUUGUCUGCUCCAUCAGUCAGCUAUCACUGGCUAAUAUGGUGUCACCAUAACCUGCACAACUUCAGUGACUCACUGCAAUAAUGGUUUCUCUCUCAUUUGUGUUUCACAUCCACGAUGGGUGAGCUGCCACAUGCUGGCUCCGCGGCAGAGGAAAGGACAAGUUGAAAAACACAAGAGCUUCUAAAGAUUUUGUUCGAAAUGACAUGUUUGUUCGUUUCAUUGGCCAUUGCCCUCUAUGAUGGGUCUGGUAGGGAAAGACACCAACAUUCUGACCAUAAUGUGGUCUAUCAUAUAUAUCUUUGAAAUUGUACCAUAUAAGCUGGAGCUUCCCAGCUGGUAUCUAAGAGUCCCAUUGUCAGCUUGUGCUGUGAUGGGAAAAGGGUUGGAAAGCAUGGAAGCAGUUCCAGGAGACCUCCAAGGAAUGGUGAUGUCGAGUCACAGAGGGAGUUCUGAGGGUAUGCUUGUCUCCUUUGGAGCUCAGAAGUUAUAGCUGCCUUACUUUGUCUUCACACCCCAAUCUUGUUCAGUCUAACGUUGACAUCUAUUUUAUCCCAUAUGCCCUUCUGCUCUGCUUACACUAUAGUUGGAGCACUUUUAAUCUGUACUCUGGCCUACUUUGGUGAUAACCUAGACAAGUCACUUUGCCUGCUUCCUUUUCUCAUAACAGCCAAGAGAUCUUUCUAAAAUUCCUUUAGAGGUCCCUAUUGUGAAGCCGGCAUUAUUCACCCUUCUUAGGGUGACCUCUCCUGUCUCUUCUCUCCCAGAAUCUCCCCAACAGUAGCUGGUCUGGUCACAGCAAACCAGAGGUCCUGGAAUCUACCAGUUUGGAAUUUUCUUACCUAAUGGGCCUUUCUUGAACCAGCUGCCUAGUUCAGAUAAGCCCUCAAGUAUGAACCCUGCCAUCUAUAAUAUUGGACUUAGAUGCUCCCCUGUGUUAUGUUUCCUGCCCAAAGUGAGUCUGACCCAUGACAGUAUCCCAGUGUCUAGCAUGAGUGAAUGUUUCUGGAUGGGAAGAACUAGUAUAAAAAUGUCUUCUCACAUUAAUUUAUAGAUUCAGCACUAUAAAAGAUUUUAUAAUGAUUUGCAGGGAAAAGAUACAAAAAAUUCUUGCAAGAAACUACAGGGUAAAAAAAAAAAAAAAAA